rnacentral:lncRNA from 1 species
AAGAGGACAGUCGGCAGUCAGCGGUGAAACUCAACAAAUCAAUAGGGAGAGAGGGAAAGAGAUAGAUAGGGAGCGAUUCGUGACUUUGUUCAGCAGAUCGACGGGAAAGAGGACACUGAAAGAGGACAAACAGUCGAUGGUCGGCGCCAACACUCAGCAAAUCGACGGGAAGGAGGUUUAUGGUCGACGGUCGAUGAUCGACGAGAAAGAGAUUGACGAUCGACGUGAAAGAGAAAGAGAUUAAUGGGAUUUGAUGAUUGAUUUGUUAGGGAUUCGACUAUGAGAGUGUGGAGACUGGAGAGGCCAGGGGGAGAAAUUGGGAGAAUAGGGGUUCUGGGGGGAGAGAAUCGGGAGAUUGGAGCUUGAACGCCUGGGG